rnacentral:rRNA from 1 species
AGCAGCCGCGGUAAUUCCAGCUCCAAUAACGUAUAUUAAAGUUGUUGCAGUUAAAAAGCUCGUAGUUGAAUUUCGGGGUUAGUAGGCUGGUCGUGCCACUGGUAUGUACUGGUCUCACUGAUUCCUCCUUCCUGAUGAGCUGUAAUGCCAUUAAUUUGGUGUUGCAGGGAAUCUGGACUGUUACUUUGAAAAAAUUAGAGUGUUUAAAGCAGGCUAACGCUUGAAUACAUUAGCAUGGAAUAAUGAAAUAGGACGAUCGAUCCUAUUUUGUUGGUUUCUAGGAUUGACGUAAUGAUUAAUAGGGAUAGUUGGGGGCAUUAGUAUUCAAUUGUCAGAGGUGAAAUUCUUGGAUUUAUUGAAGACUAACUACUGCGAAAGCAUUUGCCAAGGAUGUUUUCAUUAAUCAAGAACGAAAGUUAGGGGAUCGAAGACGAUCAGAUACCGUCGUAGUCUUAACCAUAAACUAUGCCGACUAGGGAUCGGAUGAUGUUAAUUUUUUAAUGUACUCAUUC